UGACCUCUCCUGCUAGGCAGAUAGGCACAACUUCAUCUUUUAGGAGAAAACCAAGUGGGAGAGAAGAUCGGGCAGUGACUUCGAGGAGCCGAGGAGGAAGAUUCAGUUGUGGCCAAAGAAGCACAAGCUGGAAUCAAGAUUGCCGGGAGAAAUAUCAAUAACC
rnacentral:lncRNA from 1 species